rnacentral:misc_RNA from 1 species
GAUGAAGAACGCAGCGAAAUGCGAUAAGUAAUGUGAAUUGCAGAAUUCAGUGAAUCAUCGAAUCUUUGAACGCACCUUGCGCUCUUUGGUAUUCCGAAGAGCAUGCUUGUUUGAGUGUCAUGAAAAUAUCAACCUUGACUUGGGUUUUGUGCUCUAGUCUCGGCUUGGAAUUGGGUGCUUGCCGCUUUUACGAGCGGCUCACCUUAAAUGUAUUAGCUGGAUCUGUCUUUGAGACUUGGUUUGACUUGGCGUAAUAAGUAUUUCGCUAAGGACAUUCUUCGGAGUGGCCUCGUUUCUAGGACGCUUGUCCGCUUUCCAAUACAAGUUCCACCUCGUGGACAUGACUUUUUAUUAUCUGGCCUCAAAUCAGGUAGGACUACCCGCUGAACUUAAGCAUAUCAAUAAGCGGAGGA